rnacentral:lncRNA from 1 species
AUUAAGAAAAUAUAUACUGUACCUUAACUGAUUAGGAAUAUUCUUGAUCAUCAAAGUAGUUUUUCCAGAAAGUGAAAAGUCUUCCUCAGUAGACGAAAGGACAAGCCCAUUUUCAGAGUCUUUGGGAUUCUUCUUACAACUCCGUUCUUCCUACAAGAAAAAAACAAAUUUUUUUUGCUUCUUCAAUCCGUUCUUCCUUCAAACUAUGUGAUUGGAAUCGUCGGUUGGGUGAAUUGAAGGAAUGGGAAAGGGUUAGCCUUACAAAAUAUGGGUUUGUUGUCGGCUUUUAGGCCAGUAGGUUUUAAUUUUC